rnacentral:lncRNA from 1 species
AUUUUUGCAAGGAGAUAGCCCAUUUCCGGAAGAAUUGCCAUGGAUUCCUCAAGUGGAUGUUAAAGAGAGGUAAUGAUGAAAUUACUUUCGUUGAUGAAUCAUUGUAUGUUGAUUUUUCUCAAAAUACAUGGUGGAUUGACUUAGGUGCAACCAUUCAUGUUGCAAACUCCUUGCAGGGAUUAAGUUUGAUCCGUACCAUAAAGGCAAGAACAAGAAGCAUUAAAUUCGUCAAUGGGAAGGAAGCCGAUGUUGAAGCCGUGGGGACUCUCACAUUGGAGCUACACAGCGGCUUUCAUCUACAUUUGAAUAAUGUC